rnacentral:rRNA from 1 species
GCAGUCGCCGCGGGAAAACCAGCAGCCCAAGUGGUGGUCGCGUUUAUUGGGCCUAAAGCGCUCGUAGCCUGGCCGGUAAGUUCCCCGUGAAAUCGGGUCGCCCAACGAUUCGGCUUGCGGGGAAUACUGUCGGUCUUGGGGCCGGGAGACGCCGAGGGUACUCCGGGGGUAGCGGUGAGAUGCUGUAAUCCUCGGGGGACUACCAGUGGCGAAGGCGCUCGGCGAUAACGGGCCUGACGGUGAGGGGCGAAAGCUGGGGGCGCGAACGGGAUUAGAUACCCGCGUAGUCCCUGUCUCUUAUA